rnacentral:rRNA from 1 species
UACGUAGGGGGCAAGCGUUGUCCGGAAUCAUUGGGCGUAAAGCGCGUGUAGGCGGCCAGAAAAGUCCGCUGUGAAAACUCGAGGCUCAACUUCGAGCUGUCGGUGGAAACUUUCUGGCUAGAGUCCGGAAGAGGAGAAUGGAAUUCCUGGUGUAGCGGUGAAAUGCGCAGAUAUCAGGAAGAACACCAAUGGCGAAGGCAGAUCUCUGGGCCGUAACUGACGCUGAGGAGCGAAAGCAUGGGGAGCGAACAGG